AUUAGCCAUGCAUGUCUCAGUGCAAGCCGAAUUAAGGUGAAACCGCGAAUGGCUCAUUAAAUCAGUUAUGGUUCCUUAGAUGAUGCACAGUUACUUGGAUAACUGUGGUAAUUCUAGAGCUAAUACAUGCAACUCGGUCCCGACCGGCGACGGAAGGGACGCUUUUAUUAGAUCAAAACCAAUCGGUCUUCGGGCCGUUUGUCUUGGUGACUCUGAAUAAAUUAUGGCAGAUCGCACGGCCCCCGAGCCGGCGACGCAUCUUUCAAAUGUCUGCCUUAUCAACUGUCGAUGGUAGGUUCUGCGCCUACCAUGGUUGUAACGGGUAACGGGGAAUCAGGGUUCGAUUCCGGAGAGGGAGCCUGAGAAACGGCUACCACAUCCAAGGAAGGCAGCAGGCGCGCAAAUUACCCACUCCCGGCACGGGGAGGUAGUGACGAAAAAUAACGAUACGGGACUCAUCCGAGGCCCCGUAAUCGGAAUGAGUACACUUUAAAUCCUUUAACGAGUAUCCAUUGGAGGGCAAGUCUGGUGCCAGCAGCCGCGGUAAUUCCAGCUCCAAUAGCGUAUAUUAAAGUUGUUGCGGUUAAAAAGCUCGUAGUCGGACUUGUGUCCCACGCUGCCGGUUCACCGCCCGUCGGUGUUUAACUGGCAUGCACGUGCGGACGUCCUGCCGGUGGCCCGAGCCGGCGCGGGUCUCGCACCCGUCGUCCGGGGAAGGCCUAUCAUACCCGUCGCGGUGCUCUUAACCGAGUGUCUCGAUGGGCCGGCACGUUUACUUUGAACAAAUUAGAGUGCUUAAAGCAGGCAGCAUCCGCCUGAAUACCGAGUGCAUGGAAUAAUGGAAUAGGACCUCGGUUCUAUUUUGUUGGUUUUCGGAAUCCCCGAGGUAAUGAUCAAUAGGGACAGACGGGGGCAUUCGUAUUGCGACGUUAGAGGUGAAAUUCUUGGAUCGUCGCAAGACGGACCGAAGCGAAAGCAUUUGCCAAGAAUGUUUUCUCUGAUCAGAACGAAAGUUAGAGGUU
rnacentral:rRNA from 1 species